AAUUGAAAAAAAAGAAAAAAAAAACCCCGGCCUUUCCUCCCUCAACGUCUCUCUCACCCAGCAACCCGUCUCUUCGCCGCAGCAACCCAUCUCCCUACUCCCUCUCUCUCUCUUCGACGCAGCAUUCGAGUUCGAGGAAUGAGAAACAAGUCACCGACGAUUCGCGAGGAAGAGGAACCGAGUCAGUAGUCACCGAGCAGGCGAGCCGUCGAGGCAUCGAGCACCGAGGAAGAGGAGGAGCCACCGUUUUCAUCAUUUAAAUUCUAUCCGAGCAUCGUUGAAGCCCGAUUCAGCAGUCGAGCACCGGCGAGGCGUCGAGGCGUCGAACACCAAGGAAGAGGAGGAGCCGAGCACCGAGGAUUGAGGAAGCCCGAUUCAGUAAGACAACAACCGUGACUCGUGAGUGGUUAUGAAGUCAUAUUUGGAAAAUCUUGAAGCCGCAACCACUGGAAUCUACUCCAUUUAAAAUAGUAGAAGAAGUCAAGGAUUUAAAGGAGUUAAAUGCUAAUCAACUAAUUAAGGAGAGCAAACGAAAUUGCUGUUCUAAUGGCUUCGAGGUCAAAUGGAUAGGAUGGGAUAGGGAGAGUGUAACUGUUAAAGUUGGACAGAAAUCACUUACAAAAGCAUUGACGGAUGAAGUUGGACAAAACUCUCUCAAUAUUGAAUAUGGGAUAAACAUUAUUUUGUAAAGGAUUUUGCAACCACCGUGGCUUCCUUAUGACUGUGUCAGCUACUGGAUCAUCUAUGGGAGGAGAGAACUGUAAUUGAGAAAACCACCCUUGGACGUGAAUCUGAGUUUGAUCAGAAGGAUGUUUUCGGUUUUCACAACUACAAGGGAGGGCCCUUCACCAAAGAGGAGUUGGAUGAAGUUCGAGACAAGUGGGCUACUUACUUCAACGAUUGUGAAUUACCCCAGUGUAAUAAUUAGAGCAGGCUUGUAGUUAUCCGUGACUCUUACAUUAUUUUGUUAUUUAUCGAUUUAAUUGAUUACAUUUGAAUUAAUUCAGAAAUAUUAUUGGAAAUUUAAAAUUUAUAUCAUUUUUGAGGAAUGUCAAGAUGAUGUUUGGUGAAA